rnacentral:SRP_RNA from 1 species
GCCGGGCGCGGUGGCGCGUGCCUGUAGUCCCAGCUACUCGGGAGGCUGAGGCUUGAGGAUCCCUUGAGUUCAGGAGUUCUGGGCUGUAGUGCGCUAUGCCGAUCGGGUGUCCGCACUAAGUUCGGCAUCAAUAUGGUGACCUCCCGGGAGCGGGGGACCACCAGGUUGCCUAAGGAGGGGUGAACCGGCCCAGGUCGGAAACGGAGCAGGUCAAAACUCCCGUGCUGAUCAGUAGUGGGAUCGCGCCUGUGAAUAGCCACUGCACUCCAGCCUGAGCAACAUAGCGAGACCCUGCCUCU